GUUUAGGUAGUUUAACUUAAAAUUAAAGAUUGUGAUUCUUUGGAUGUGGCUGAUGCUGCCCUGGACA
rnacentral:tRNA from 1 species